GAGUGCUACAGCUUUUUUACAAUUUGUCUAGUAGGUUUUCAGUCCUCACUGGAAGACCCCC
rnacentral:snRNA from 1 species